GAGUUUGAUCUUGGCUCAGAUUGAACGCUGGCGGCAGGCCUAACACAUGCAAGUCGGGCGGUAGAGAGAAGCUUGCUUCUCUUGAGAGCGGCGGACGGGUGAGUAAUGCCUAGGAAUCUGCCUGGUAGUGGGGGAUAACGCUCGGAAACGGACGCUAAUACCGCAUACGUCCUACGGGAGAAAGCAGGGGACCUUCGGGCCUUGCGCUAUCAGAUGAGCCUAGGUCGGAUUGGCUAGUUGGUGAGGUAAUGGCUCACCAAGGCGACGAUCCGUAACUGGUCUGAGAGGAUGAUCAGUCACACUGGAACUGAGACACGGUCCAGACUCCUACGGGAGGCAGCAGUGGGGAAUAUUGGACAAUGGGCGAAAGCCUGAUCCAGCCAUGCCGCGUGUGUGAAGAAGGUCUUCGGAUUGUAAAGCACUUUAAGUUGGGAGGAAGGGCAGUAAAUUAAUACUUUGCUGUUUUGACGUUACGACAGAAUAAGCACCGGCUAACUCUGUGCCAGCCGCG
rnacentral:rRNA from 1 species